GACGAACGCUGGCGGCGUGCUUAACACAUGCAAGUCGAACGGAAAGGCCUGCUUUCCCUUGUGGAUUGCGGGUACUCGAGUGGCGAACGGGUGAGUAACACGUGAGUGAUCUGCCCCCAACUUGGGUAUAAGCCUGGGAAACUGGGUCUAAUUCCCGAUAGGACUGCAGGGUGGUGCCUGUGGUGGAAAACGAUUUUCUAGUGGUUGGGGAUGAGCUCGCGGCCUAUCAGCUUGUUGGUGGGGUAAUGGCCUACCAAGGCGGCGACGGGUAGCCGGCCUGGGAGGGUGGACGGCCACAUUGGGACUGAGAUACGGCCCAGACUCCUACGGGAGGCAGCAGUGGGGAAUAUUGGACAAUGGGCGGAAGCCUGAUGCAGCGACGCCGCGUGGGGGAUGACGGCCUUCGGGUUGUAAACUCCUUUCGACCGCGAGGAAGCCACCUGGUUGGAAGGGUGGUGACGGUAGUGGUAGAAGAAGCACCGGCUAACUACCUG
rnacentral:rRNA from 1 species